GCUGGUCUGGAUCCAUGCUGGUUACAAACCCACUAUGUUGGUUUUGUCCUGGCACGGCUCAUAUGUUUGUUUUAUUUAUAGUUUAUUUACAUUUAAUUGCAUAACAAAACGUUCACUUUCCUUGAGAAUAAGGCUUCGGCAAAACUGAUUAUUGAUAAGAUCAAAACGUUUGUAGAGAAAUAUGACGAGAAUCAUCACGAAAUUGAGAGCGAGUUCAACAAACUGGAACUGAACAAAGUUCUCUGCAAAACAGACAUUCAGGGUUACACUUCUGACGAAUGCAAUGAAGUGAUAGCCGUGCUAGAUAAAGCAUUGGGUGUUGUUGAAAGUAAAAGUAAGGAACAUAUUCUUUACCCACUUUUCACUGCAAAAGAUCGUUUGCAAAAAGCACAGAUAGAGGUAUUAAUAAGGCAGCUUGAGCAUUGUACCUGCAAGGCGGGAGAUUUAAUGUUGAUGAAAGUUCCAAAAAAUUGGACAAACUGACGACUCGCGACUAUUCUCCGAAAUAUUCAGACUUACACAACUGAGGAAUGUAGUGAAGUGAUAGCAGAGUUAGAUAAUGCAUUAAGUAUUGUCGAAGGUAAAAGCAAGGACCAUAUUCUUUACACUCUUUUUACUGCAAGGGAUCGUGUGCAAAAAGCACAGAUAGAGGCGUUAAAGAGUCAGCUUAAGCAUUGUACCUGCAAGGCUGGAGACUUAAUGUUGCGGAAAGAUCCAAAACGGACGCAUACUGGCAAGGGACAGUUAGACAGCGGAUAUAACUCAAAAUGCCUGACAGACUCACGGCUAUACACCGAAACAGGUGAUGGACUCGUCGUGCAACCAACAGAUGCAUCCCACACCGAAGUUUCUAAGACUCUAACAUAGAGGGCAACUACACUGAAUUUGAAGAGACAAUAAAACGACAGAUCUGAUAAGCUAAACUUCCGGCUGAUAUCUGAUGACAGAAGACUGAAAGAAAUUUAGCAAUCAUUGCCCUUUUGGAAUGAUACGUUAUAACCGACUCUUUGACUCGCUACCAGAUACAUUUAAAUCAAAGGUUAGAAGUGCAAUAAGGUGGAAUGAAAAAAAAACAUAAAAAAAAAAACAUAGAUUUGAUUUCAACGUAAUUUAGUACUUCAGGAUAUGGUAUGUGAAACAGAGACAAAAACAUUGGAAAAGUCUGAAACUGAAGCGUGACAUACAUUUAUGAUAAAAAAACA
rnacentral:misc_RNA from 1 species